GCUCGUAUAGUGUAGUGGCCCAUCAUAAAGGACUCUCAUUCCUUUGACCCGGGUUCAAAUCCCGGUACGAGCACCA
rnacentral:tRNA from 2 species